rnacentral:sRNA from 1 species
GUGCUUUGGUGGGAACAGAACAGUGUCACCCCUCACCGAGUGGCUAGACCAGGAGGAGGGGGAGGCUGGCGGAGAGUGAGACCACAGCUGAGAAAUCUCCCGGAGCCUAUUUCCUUCCUGAGUUUGCACUCUCUCCUCAGGGAAGUUUUCUGGAAGACACAACAGGGGAGCAGUUCCUCACUUAUCGCUAUGAUGACCAGACCUCAAGAAACACUCGUUCAGAUGAAGACAAAGAUGGCAACUGGGAUGCUUGGGGUGACUGGAGUGACUGCUCCCGGACCUGUGGGGGAGGAGCAUCAUAUUCUCUGCGGAGAUGUUUGACUGGAAGGAAUUGUGAAGGGCAGAACAUUCGGUACAAGACAUGCAGCAAUCAUGACUGCCCUCCAGAUGCAGAAGAUUUCAGAGCCCAGCAGUGCUCAGCCUACAAUGAUGUCCAGUAUCAGGGGCGUUACUAUGAAUGGCUUCCACGAUAUAAUGAUCCUGCUGCCCCGUGUGCACUCAAGUGUCAUGCACAAGGACAAAACUUGGUGGUGGAGCUGGCAC